CCUCAUGUCACAGGUCGGAGCGGACCACAGAUGUUGCAAGUCACGCCCCUUCCUAGUUUCCACCUCGAGGAGGUCCCAAAGCCACCCCAAUGACCAGACACACCAAGCCUGUCCAAUCCUCUUCACACCAUCGGUUUUCCGUUGCUGGAGAUCGCCCUUGACGUUACUUCCGAUCCUCUGCCUUCACCAAUGCUGACUCUGCCCAAACCUCUACACUGCCCGCCGGAUCGGCCUGAAUGGAUUCAACUCGAACUGCUGUUUGAAUUUCUGAGACUCUUUUUAUACCCUUCCUGUUCUCUCCGUUGUCCAAUCCACGAUCGCCGCGUUUAUUGUCCUCACCUGUGCCUCGUACAGCCCAAUUUGCCUCCCGGAGUUUCCCGGAAGUUCCGGUGUUUGUAGUAUACGGGCCGGGCGGAAACCAAUCUUCGCCACUUUUGGUUCCGCCCCCAAAAAGUCACAGUG